rnacentral:rRNA from 1 species
UAUGUGAUCGUCUCUCGCAUAUCAAUAAGCGGAGGAAAAGAAACUAACAAGGAUUCCCCUAGUAACGGCGAGUGAAGCGGGAAGAGCUCAAAUUUGAAAUCUUAAAGGGUUUCCCUUUACGAAUUGUAGUUUAGAGAAGUGUUUUCUGUUGAGGUUUUGGUAAAAGUUCUUUGGAAUAGGACAUCAUAGAGGGUGAGAAUCCCGUAUUUGACCUUUACUUUCAUUUCACUUUGUGAUACACUUUCAAAGAGUCGGAUUGUUUGGGAAUGCAGUCCAAAAUGGGUGGUAAAUUUCAUCUAAAGCUAAAUAUUGGCGAGAGACCGAUAGCGAACAAGUACCGUGAGGGAAAGAUGAAAAGAACUUUGAAAAGAGAGUUAAACAGUACGUGAAAUUGUCAAAAGGGAAGCGUUUGACACCAGUGUUGUUUUUCUGAAAAUCAAUUAAAGAACUGUUUAUGCUAAGUUGUUUAGACUUUAUCAGCUAUCUGCUUAGUUUUGAGCUUUUCUUUAAUGCACUUUUCAGUUAACAAGUCAACAUCAAUUUCUUUGCUGUAAAAAAGCUUGAGGAAGGUGGCUUGAGAUUCGUCUUAAGUGUUUAUAGCCUCUUGCCUAUGCAGUCGGAGAGAUUGAGGUCUGCAGCGUAGAUCCUUCGGGGCUAAAUGCAUUUGUGCUAAGUUAUAGCAUUUUAUAGACAACUUGUUGACUAUGAUUUGUCUUGUAGCUUACUCGCUUAUGUUAUUUUACCUACGCUUAGGAUGUUGAACGCGCACAGAGUCUC